rnacentral:miRNA from 1 species
UAUUAGGUUGGUGCAAAAGUAAUCGCGGUUUUUGCCAUUGAAAGUAAUGGCAAAAACCGCGAUUACUUUCGCAC